AUUGAACGCUGGCGGCAGACUUAACACAUGCAAGUCGAACGAGUGGCGGACGGGUGAGUAAUGCUUGGGAAUCUGGCUUAUGGAGGGGGAUAACGACGGGAAACUGUCGCUAAUACCGCGUACCAUAGGAUGAGCCCAAGUGGGAUUAGGUAGUUGGUGGGGUAAUGGCCUACCAAGCCAACGAUCUCUAGCUGGUCUGAGAGGAUGACCAGCCACACCGGGGCUGAGACCCGGCCCGGACUCCGACGGGAGGCGGCAGUGGGGAAUGUUGGGCAAUGGGGGAAACCUGACACAGCCAUGCCGCGUGAGUGAAGAAGGCCUUCGGGUUGUAAAGUUCUUUCGGUGACGAAGCGUUCAUCACAGAAGAAGCCCCGGCUAACUCCGUGCCAGCAGCCGCGGUAAUAC
rnacentral:rRNA from 1 species